rnacentral:rRNA from 1 species
AUCAGUUAUGGUUCCUUAGAUCCUACAAAAAUUUACUUGGAUAACUGUGGUAAUUCUAGAGCUAAUACAUGCAAACCAGAGUCCCUCUCAGAGAUGAGGGGGACGCUUUUAUUAGAUCAAAACCAAUCGGUGGCGAGUGGCGCCAGCUGUUCGUCCAUCGUUUGCUUUGGUGACUCUGAAUAACUUUUCGCUGAUCGCAUGGUCUUCGUACCGGCGACGCAUCUUUCAAAUGUCUGCCUUAUCAACUGUCGAUGGUAGGUUCUGCGCCUACCAUGGUUGUAACGGGUAACGGGGAAUCAGGGUUCGAUUCCGGAGAGGGAGCCUGAGAAACGGCUACCACAUCCAAGGAAGGCAGCAGGCGCGCAAAUUACCCACUCCCGGCACGGGGAGGUAGUGACGAAAAAUAACGAUACGGGACUCAUCCGAGGCCCCGUAAUCGGAAUGAGUACACUUUAAAUCCUUUAACAAGGAUCCAUUGGAGGGCAAGUCUGGUGCCAGCAGCCGCGGUAAUUCCAGCUCCAAUAGCGUAUAUUAAAGUUGUUGCGGUUAAAAAGCUCGUAGUUGAAUCUGUGUGCCACACUGUCGGUACACCGCUCGUCGGUGCUUACUGACACGAUGUGGGACGUCCUACCGGUGGGCUUAGCUC